rnacentral:lncRNA from 1 species
CCCUAAGGACCAUAGCUGUCUGCAGUGCAGGAAGCCAACUAUUAAGGGGAAACAAAAGUGUUCUUAGGAGUCCUGCUGUCACUGUGGAUUGAGCCGGUGAAGCCCUGAGGGAUUUCAUCGCUGAGGUGGAUGGAGAAGCAGCUGGGGGCCUUGGCUGUAAGGACCCCUAAGGGCCUGAUCUUUUGGCCAGAAGGAGAUUAAAAAGAUGCCCCUCAAGAUGGCUGUGCCUGUCAGCUGCAUGGAGCUUCGUUCAAGUAUUUUCUGAGCCUGAUGGAUUUACAGUGAUCUUCAGUGGUCUGGGGAAUAACGCUGGUGGAACCAUGCACUGGAAUGACACACGCCCGGCACAUUUCAGGAUACUAAAAGUGGUUUUAAGGGAGGCUGUGGCUGAAUGCCUCAUGGAUUCUUACAGCUUGGAUGUCCAUGGGGGACGAAGGACUGCAGCUGGCUGAGAGGGUUGAGAUCUCUGUUUACUUAGAUCUCUGCCAACUUCCUUUGGGUCUCCCUAUGGAAUGUAAGACCCCGACUCUUCCUGGUGAAGCAUCUGAUGCACGUUCCAUCCGGCGCUCAGCUGGGCUUGAGGACUUCGCAGGUGAGCAGUAACGGAAAUCAGCCCCGUUUAUUCCUCCCAGCACCUGCCUUAUCCAACUCCCCACGCUGUGGCUGAGUCCCAGCCUGCUAUGGAAGCAUCACUGGACUCCCAUUGAACUCUGUGCAGAUUCGCUGUUCGUAGACAUGGUACCUGAUGGACACCAAGCUACGUACAGCUUCAAGGCCCCUUCUUUCUUUGCUAAUAAAAAAUAAAA